rnacentral:rRNA from 1 species
AAACGACUCUCGGCAACGGAUAUCUCGGCUCUCGCAUCGAUGAAAACCGUAGCGAAAUGCGAUACUUGGUGUGAAUUGCAGAAUCCCGUGAACCAUCGAGUUUUUGAACGCAAGUUGCGCCCGAAGCCAUUAGGUUGAGGGCACGUCUGCCUGGGCGUCUCAC